AUUUAGUUUAAAAAUUGUGUGGCGUGACCUGUCCAACCAACCAAGAUGGCUGCCAUGGCUAAAAAUAGAACAUAGAGGGGAAAUGUAGAUUUUGGCUUAUAUCUCUGAAACUAAAGCAUUUAGAGCAAAUCUGAAUAGAUAAAAUUGUUUAUCAGGUCAAGAUCUAUCUGCCCUGAAAUUUUCAGACAAAUCAGACAACCUGUUGUUGGGUUGCUGCCCCAAAUUAGUAUUUUAAGGAAAUUUUGCAGAUUUUGGUUAUUAUCUUGAAUAUUAUUAUAGAUAGAGAUAAACUGUAAACAGCAAUAAUGUUCAGCAAAGUAAGAUUUACAAAUAAGUCAACAUGACCGAAAUGGUCAAUUGACCCCCUAAGGAGUUAUUGUCCUUUAUAGUCAAUUUUCAACAAUUUUUAUAAAAUUUGUAAAUUUUUACUAACAUUUUCCACUGAAACUACUGGGCCAAGUUCAUUAUAGGUAGAGAUAAUUGUAAGCAGCAAGGAUGUUCAGUAAAGUAAGAUGUACAAACACAUCACCAUCACCCAAAAUACAAUUUUGUCAUGAAUCCAUCUGCUUUCUUUGUUUAAUAGUCACAUAGACCAAGGUGA
rnacentral:lncRNA from 1 species